CGCGUAGGCGGACUUGUGGGUCCGAUGUGAAAGCCCGGGGCUCAACCCCGGAAGUGCAUUGGAAACUACAAGUCUUGAGUUUGGGAGAGGAGAGCAGAAUUCCCGGUGUAGGGGUGGAAUCCGUAGAUAUCGGGAGGAAAACCAGUGGCGAAGGCGGCUCUCUGGAACAUAACUGACGCUGAGGCGCGAAAGCGUGGGGAGCAAACAGGAUUAGAUACCCUGGUAGUCC
rnacentral:rRNA from 1 species